rnacentral:rRNA from 1 species
UACGGAGGAUCCAAGCGUUAUCCGGAUUUAUUGGGUUUAAAGGGUGCGUAGGCGGAUUAAUAAGUCAGUGGUGAAAGCCUGCAGCUUAACUGUAGAAUUGCCAUUGAUACUGUUAGUCUUGAGUAUAUUUGAAGUGGGCGGAAUGUGCAGUGUAGCGGUGAAAUGCUUAGAUAUUGCACAGAACACCGAUUGCGAAGGCAGCUCACUAAACUAUAACUGACGCUGAGGCACGAAAGUAUGGGGAUCAAACAGG